AGCAAAUGGAGGAUGGGUUCAGCAUGCCCCUAGAAGCAGUGACAGAGGACGGAGAUAUGACCAGACUGAUGCUGCAGCACUGUGUGGUGCCUGGAUACCAGUUCCUCAUACAAGUGGCACCCGAUCAGACUCUGAUGUCUCAACCCUAGAGAAGAUGGCUUGGAAAAAUAUUGGAAACCUGCCAGGGGACUUACGAAGAAAGGAUUAUUCACGGAGAAAAUACUAUUUUAUUUGUAGUAUUUAAUUUAUAUAUUGUUUGAUUAAAUAUGAAUGUGUUUUUAUUUUUAUUUCACAAACUGUAUCCUUGGCAGCCCUAAAAUAAAAUGUAAAGACGGCUUCUGUUUUUAAAAUUACUGUCUAAAAGGGUUGGUUGUUUUUUGUUAAGUUAUUCUAUUCCAUGAGAUGUAAUCAAGUCCUUUAAAGGGGGACAUUUGUACCAAGAAGACGGACGUUUUGUUACAUUUCUGUAUUAUAUUAUUUUUUUUGUCCAUAUAACUGAAUGCUGUGGUUGCCAAUGUUUCUCAUUUCAGAAGUUUUCAUUUGAGUUUUCCUUGCAAAACUACAUGUACUACUCUUACUUAAAAAAGACAACUUGAAUUUCAAAAUGCUUGAUAAAUGAUGUAAUUAACGACUCAUUGUAACGUGUUUUU